ACAAUUCAUACAUUUUUAGUAUAUUUAGUAUGAUUUUUGGUGUAUUUAUAGAGCUGGGCAACCACUAGCACAAUUUUAGAACAUCUUCAUCAUCCUAAAAAAAAAAAAACCCCAUAACUCUAUGGCCAGGCAUGGCAGCUAAUGCCUGUAAUUCCAGCACUUCGGGAGGCUGAGGCAGUCAGAUCACUUGAGCCCAAGAGGUCAAGACUAGUCUGGGCAAAAUAAUUAGACCC
rnacentral:lncRNA from 1 species